rnacentral:rRNA from 1 species
AUGCAAGUCGAACGAAGAGCGAUGGAAGCUUGCUUCUAUCAAUCUUAGUGGCGAUCGGGUGAGUAACGCGUAAUCAACCUGCCCUUCAGAGGGGGACAACAGUUGGAAACGACUGCUAAUACCGCAUACGAUCUAAUCUCGGCAUCGAGGAUAGAUGAAAGGUGGCCUCUACAUGUAAGCUAUCACUGAAGGAGGGGAUUGCGUCUGAUUAGCUAGUUGGAGGGGUAACGGCCCACCAAGGCGAUGAUCAGUAGCCGGUCUGAGGGGAUGAACGGCCACAUUGGGACUGAGACACGGCCCAGACUCCUACGGGAGGCAGCAGUGGGGAAUCUUCCGCAAUGGACGAAAGUCUGACGGAGCAACGCCGCGUGAGUGAUGACGGCCUUCGGGUUGUAAAGCUCUGUUAAUCGGGACGAAAGGCCUUCUUGCGAAUAGUGAGAAGGAUUGACGGUACCGGAAUAGAAAGCCACGGCUAACUACGUGC